rnacentral:miRNA from 1 species
UUUAGCAACCCUUUUCAGCUCU